AGAGUUUGAUCAUGGCUCAGGACGAACGCUGGCGGCGUGCUUAACACAUGCAAGUCACGGGGGGGUCGCAAGACUCAACCGGCGAACGGGUGCGUAACACGUGAGCGACCUGCCUUUCUGCGGGGGAUAGCCGGCCCAACGGCCGGGUAAUACCGCAUACGCUGUCGGGGGUGCAUGUCCCUGACAGGAAACCUCCGGGGCGGAGAGAGGGGCUCGCGGCCUAUCAGCUAGUUGGUGGGGUAACGGCCUACCAAGGCGACGACGGGUAGCUGGUCUGAGAGGAUGGCCAGCCACAUUGGGACUGAGAGACGGCCCAGACUCCUACGGGAGGCAGCAGUGGGGAAUCUUGCGCAAUGGUCUAACGACUGACGCAGCGACGCCGCGUGUGGGAGGACGCCCUUCGGGGUGUAAACCUCUUUCAGGAGGGACGAAGCUACUCGGGUGAAUAGCCCAGAGGGUGACGGUACCUCCAGAGGAAGCCCCGGCUAACUACGUGCCAGCCGCCGCGGUAAUAC
rnacentral:rRNA from 1 species